rnacentral:rRNA from 1 species
AAUGAACGUUGGCGGCGUGGAUUAGGCAUGCAAGUCGAGCGAGAAACUUCUAAAAGAUACUUCGGUUGAUUUUGGAGGCGGACAGCGGCGAAAGGGAGAGUAACGAGUAGAUUACGUACCCAAGGGUUCGGGAUAGCCAUGCGAAAGCGUGGGUAAUACCGAAUAAUGUCUCCGGACCAAAGAUUUAUUGCCCUUGGAGCGGUCUGCUUACUAUUAGUUUGUUGGUGGGGUAAAGGCCUACCAAGACUAAGAUGGUUAGCGGGUGUGAGAGCAUGGCCCGUCUCACUGGGACUGAGACACUGCCCAGACACCUACGGGUGGCUGCAGUCGAGAAUCUUCCGCAAUGGACGAAAGUCUGACGGAGCGACGCCGCGUGAUGGACGAAGGCCUUCGGGUUGUAAACAUCUGUCGUAGGGGAGGAAAUUUUGACCGAUCCUAGGAGGAAGCACAGGCUAAGUUCGUG